GACGAACGCUGGCGGCGUGCUUAACACAUGCAAGUCGAACGGAAAGGCCCUGCUUUUGUGGGGUGCUCGAGUGGCGAACGGGUGAGUAACACGUGAGUAACCUGCCCUUGACUUUGGGAUAACUUCAGGAAACUGGGGCUAAUACCGGAUAGGAGCUCCUGCUGCAUGGUGGGGGUUGGAAAGUUUCGGCGGUUGGGGAUGGACUCGCGGCUUAUCAGCUUGUUGGUGGGGUAGUGGCUUACCAAGGCUUUGACGGGUAGCCGGCCUGAGAGGGUGACCGGCCACAGUGGGAAUGAGAUACGGCCCAGACUCCUACGGGAGGCAGCAGUGGGGAAGAUGGAACAAGGGGCGGAAGCCUGAUGCAGCAACGCCGCGUGCGGGAGGACGGCCUUCGGGUUGUAAACCGUUUUCGCCGGUGACGAAGCGGGAGGGACGGUAAGGGGUAAAGAAGCACCGGCUAACUACGUG
rnacentral:rRNA from 1 species